rnacentral:rRNA from 1 species
UACAGAGGGUGCGAGCGUUGUCCGGAAUUACUGGGCGUAAAGGGCGCGUAGGCGGCCUGAUAAGUAGGGGGUGGAAUCUCACGGCUCGACCGGGAGGCUGCCUUCUAGACUGUCAGGCUUGAGCACGGUAGAGGCAGAUGGAAUUCCCGGUGUAGCGGUGGAAUGCGUAGAGAUCGGGAAGAACACCAGUGGCGAAGGCGAUCUGCUGGGCCGUUGCUGACGCUGAGGCGCGACAGCGUGGGGAGCAAACGGG